rnacentral:rRNA from 1 species
CGGGCGGGGGAGCAAUGUCUGGGAAACUGCCCGAUGGAGGGGGAUAACUACUGGAAACGGUAGCUAAUACCGCAUAACGUCGCAAGACCAAAGAGGGGGACCUUAGGGCCUCUUGCCAUCGGAUGUGCCCAGAUGGGAUUAGCUAGUAGGUGGGGUAACGGCUCACCUAGGCGACGAUCCCUAGCUGGUCUGAGAGGAUGACCAGCCACACUGGAACUGAGACACGGUCCAG